CCUACGGGUGGCAGCAGUGGGGAAUAUUGGGCAAUGGGCGCAAGCCUGACCCAGCAACGCCGCGUGAAGGAAGAAGGCUUUCGGGUUGUAAACUUCUUUUGUCAGGGAAGAGUAGAAGACGAUGCCUGACGCAUCAGCCACGGCUAACGACGUACCAUCAGCCGAGUUAAUACGUAGGUGGCAAGCGUUUUCCGGAUUUACUGGGUGUAAAGGGCGUGUAGCCGGGUUGACAAGUCAGAUGUGAAAUCCGGCGGCUUAACCGCAGAACUGCAUUUGAACCUGUGGAUCUUGAGUACUGGAGAGGCAGACGGAAUUCCUAGGGGAGCGGUGAAAUGCGUAGAUAUUAGGAGGAACACGAGUGGCGAAGGCGGUCUGCUGGACAGCAACUGACGGUGAGGCGCGAAAGCGUGGGGAGCAAACAGGAUGAGAUACCCGUGUAGUC
rnacentral:rRNA from 1 species